UUUGCGGUGUGGGAUGGGCCCGCGGCCUAUCAGCUUGUUGGUGGGGUAAUGGCCUGCCAAGGCGACGACGGGUAGCCGGCCUGAGAGGGUGACCGGCCACACUGGGACUGAGAUACGGCCCAGACUCCUACGGGAGGCAGCAGUGGGGAAUAUUGCACAAUGGGCGCAAGCCUGAUGCAGCGACGCCGCGUGAGGGAUGACGGCCUUCGGGUUGUAAACCUCUUUCACCAGGGACGAAGCGUAAGUGACGGUACCUGGAGAAGAAGCACCGGCCAACUACGUGCCAGCAGCCGCGGUAAUACGUAGGGUGCGAGCGUUGUCCGGAAUUACUGGGCGUAAAGAGCUCGUAGGUGGUUUGUCGCGUUGUUCGA
rnacentral:rRNA from 1 species